rnacentral:rRNA from 1 species
AUGCUAGGCUACUUGCUCAGCACCCUCUCCAAGGAGGUACUCGUCGUGGUGAGCACGGUCACCACGGCGCACGCGCUCUGGACCAUGGUGGCAGGUAUGUUUUCCUUGCAGUCCAUGAGCCGUGUGAACAACAUCAGGACAGCGCUCGUCAACACGCAGAAGGGCAACCAGACAGUUGCCGCCUACUUCGCCUCUCUCCGUGGCCUCGCCGACGAGCUUGCCGCUGCGGGGAAGGCCAUCCAAGACGACGAGCUCAUCUCUGAUAUCAUCCACGGCCUCGACGUCGACUACCAGCCCCUCGUCUUCGCCCUCGACGCACGGUCUCCCUCGAAGAGCUCUAUGCCAUGCUCAGCAACUUCGACCAGCGCAUGGCCCAGUUCAAUCACUCGGGCAGCGGCGGCUUCCGCUCCUCUACCAACGCCGCGGUGCAUGGUCGUGGUGGUGGAUCACGUGGCCGUGGCUCUUCUCGCGCCAAGGGGCGAUUUGGAGGACAUAGUGGUGGAGGCAACAGUGCUGGAGGCAGCGGCCGCUCUGGCGCAACCCGCAGUCGUCGUGGCGGUGGUCCAACUCGAGCCCGACCAGAGAUGCCUCGCUGCCAGAUUUGUGGUAAGCCAGGGCACAUCGAGACGGAUUGCUGGUACCGUUAUGAUGAAGAUGACGAUGACUCCCAAGAUGAAGAAAAGGUGGCUACCUCAACUGAUGGAUCCUACGGCAUCGACACAAAUUGGUACGUUGAUAGUGGUGUCACUAAUCACAUCACCAAUGAGCUUGAGAAGGUCAUGA